rnacentral:misc_RNA from 1 species
AGACAGCAUUAUGCUGUCU